AUUGAACGCUGGCGGCAGGCCUAACACAUGCAAGUCGAACGAGUGGCGGACGGGUGAGUAAUGUCUGGGAAACUGCCCGAUGGAGGGGGAUAACUACUGGAAACGGUAGCUAAUACCGCAUACCAUCGGAUGUGCCCAGAUGGGAUUAGCUAGUAGGUGGGGUAACGGCUCACCUUGGAGACGAUCCCUAGCUGGUCUGAGAGGAUGACCAGCAACACUGGAACUGAGACACGGUCCCAACUCCUACGGGAGUCAGCAGUGGGGAAUAUUGCACAAUGGGCGCAAACCUGAUGCAGCCAUGCCGCGUGUAUGAAGAAGGCCUUCGGGUUGAAAAGUACUUUCAGCGGGGAGGCGUUACCCGCAGAGGAAGCACCGGCUAACUCCGUGCCAGCAGCCGCGGUAAUUC
rnacentral:rRNA from 1 species